rnacentral:lncRNA from 1 species
GGCGGUGGCUGAGUUGGGACCCUAGCAGAGGAGGCUAGGGUUCAUAAGUUUUUUUUUUGUUGUAAAUGUAGCAGAAAGUGGAAAUUUUUUUAAAGGAAAAUGUUGGCUUUAUAUUGAAAUCAAAGCAGCGUCGUUUGGAAGGGGGUGGGAUCUGCGCGUCGACCUGACCCGGACCGAGGAUCCGCGCAUUUCUUUAAAAUGGGCCAUUUGCGCAAUUGGUCCUCUAUUUUUUGGGGGUGUUUAAAUCAUUUUUUUAUUUUUUUAAAUUUGGCCACAUAUUUUGAUACUGUUUUAAUUUAAUCCAAUGCUGCGCAACGUUUCAAGAGGUUUGGGUAAAUUGCUCGUUCGGUCCUCCUCCUAUUGCGCGUGUUUUAAAUUGCUCCCUUUCUUGUUUUUAUUUUUGAAUUCAGCCUUUAAAUUCUAUUUGUUUUCAAUUUAAUCCUUAAU